rnacentral:tRNA from 1 species
UGGGAUAUAGCUCAGUAGCAGAGCACUUGCUUAGCAUGUAAGAGGCAUGUGUGAGGCUCUGGGUUCAAGCCCCAAUAUUGCUA